AUGGUGAAAGAAUUGUCAUAUAGUUUCGCAAACAAUGCCGAAAAGCAAUCAUCACUUUGUCUCUAACUUUGGCAGCAUACAGAAAGCACCUAAACCUUUUCCACCGCAGGAAAGACGUUCUUUUUCCGACUCUAAAAGAACACACCUUUAAGCACAAAACAGAAAACUUUUCUUGGUCACUGUGUCUCAAAGGAAUCGUCUCAUCUAUCGACUCAGCUGCUUGUAUUCCUCUCAGCGUCGUUUCUUCUUUUGACAAGUUAUUGAUAUGCUGCUCUGAUAUACGAAUGAAUGACACAAGUGAUUUCGCAUUCACAGGAAGAAGGAUGGGUCGUGUGUCGCGCAUUCAAGAAACGAGCCACUUGCCCUGCGAGGAGCGUGGCCGCCAUUUGGAACUCCGGCUACUGCUACGAUGAGCUCGACAGGAUGAACUCCAUGGUUAAUCCGAUGAUGUGCCUACAGAAGCAACCCAUGAGUUUGCAGUGCAAGCAAGAGACUGAAUUCGAGGAGCUGCAUCUCUUACACCCCUCCCAGUUCGUGCAGCUGCCCCAGCUGGAGAGCCCAUCCCUGCCUCUGGUGAGUCAACCCAGCUCGAAGAUGACGGUGUUGGAGAAAGAGGACGAGCAGCAACAGCAGCAAGCGGGGAUGUCGAGCGGCAUGGGGAGUGUGACAGACUGGAGGGCGCUCGACAAGUUCGUGGCGUCGCAGUUGAGCCACGAGGGUGGCAGUUUCGUGAGCGAACAGGUGGUCUCGGAUUUUGGUGUAGAUAAUGACUCGGAGAUGGCACUGCUGUUGCUUCAAAGCGAGAGGGAAGGCUUCAACGAGUUCAUCGGCUCAGGCGAACCUGACUGCGACAAAGGCAUCUGUAUAUUUGAGCAAUGAAUCUGCUGAUGUAUAAGGAGCAGCAUAAGGUGUUUGAUCCAACCCCUGCCAUUUCUUCUUCUUCUUCUUCUUCUUAAUAUGUAAGCUUUGGAUUGGCUAUCGCUGAGCUUUUCUUGUAUAAAGAUUUAAAUGAAGCUCCUUGCCUUGUUUAUCUAUACCUUUUGUCUGGUGCACGAAGAUCUGAAGAGAUAUUGAUAAGUAUUAUGAAAAAUAUUUACAAGAAUUAUGAAAAUUGGACAGAGGAAUAAAUCAUACAAACGCUAAGCCAAAAAAUAAUAAUAAUAAAGUCAAGAUAAAACAAUGUCAGAGUACAAAGCACGCACGCCAUAAAUGCAAAUUCAAGGGGGGCUUUGAAGACCUCUCAGAAAAAGCAAAACGUAGAAUCUCUCGUACAAGAAUUGUAGUACAGCUUAUGGAUUUAUCAUCAUAGCAGAAACUUUAAAGCAUAUGUACUCCUGUCUCGGUCUUUUUCACAAGGAAAAGAACUUACCGGUCAUCGGAGUACUCUUGAAAGCCGUGGCGAAUAGCCGACGCGCCAUCACCCUUAAUCGGCAAAUACAAAGAAAGGAAAUGUGAUUCGUCAACCCUAACAACAUGGGACAUGUGAUUGAUUCAUCGAUCAAUCUGAGAGUCCAUCGAAACCAAGAAAAGGAAAACUAAUCCAUCUUACGAGCGAAAUCGCCCGUCAGGACCAAUUCCGCCCGCAAUCUCUGCAAACAGCACCACGGAAUGAGUAAGGGCCGGUGGCAAUCGCCAGGGGCGACCUGAUCAUCGGACCGGAGGAUUACCUGAAGUUCUUGGAGGACGGAGGCGUGAUGGGGCCGCCGCCGCCGUCUCUCUUGGCACCUCCAUCACGGACAAUCUCGCACGGGGGGAUGUGGGAAGCAGAGAGCGGACGAGAACGGGAUGU
rnacentral:lncRNA from 1 species